GGAUUGCCCCAGUAACGGCGAGUGAAGCGGCAACAGCUCAAAUUUGAAAUCUGGCCCUCGGGUCCGAGUUGUAAUUUGUAGAGGAUGCUUUUGGCGAGGUGCCUUCCGAGUUCCCUGGAACGGGACGCCAUAGAGGGUGAGAGCCCCGUCUGGUCGGAUACCAAGCCUCUGUAAAGCUCCUUCGACGAGUCGAGUAGUUUGGGAAUGCUGCUCAAAAUGGGAGGUAUAUGUCUUCUAAAGCUAAAUAUUGGCCAGAGACCGAUAGCGCACAAGUAGAGUGAUCGAAAGAUGAAAAGCACUUUGAAAAGAGGGUUAAAAAGUACGUGAAAUUGUUGAAAGGGAAGCGCCUAUGACCAGACUUGGGCCCGGUGAAUCAUCCAGCGUUCUCGCUGGUGCACUUUGCCGGGCACAGGCCAGCAUCAGUUUGGCGCGGGGGAUAAAGGCUUUGGGAAUGUGGCUCCCUCGGGAGUGUUAUAGCCCAUUGCGCAAUACCCUGCGCCGGACUGAGGUACGCGCAUUGCAAGGAUGCUGGCGUAAUGGUCAUCAGCGACCCGUCUUGAAACACGGACCAAGGAGUCGUCUUCGUAUGCGAGUGUUCGGGUGUCAAACCCCUACGCGUAAUGAAAGUGAACGCAGGUGAGAGCUUCGGCGCAUCAUCGACCGAUCCUGAUGUUCUCGGAUGGAUUUGAGUAAGAGCAUACGGGGCCGGACCCGAAAGAAGGUGAACUAUGCCUGUAUAGGGUGAAGCCAGAGGAAACUCUGGUGGAGGCUCGCAGCGGUUCUGACGUGCGAAUCGAUCGUCAAAUAUGGGCAUGGGGGCGAAAGACUAAUCGAACCUUCUA
rnacentral:rRNA from 1 species